rnacentral:rRNA from 1 species
CAGUAGCCGCGGUAAUACGUAGGGUGCGAGCGUUAAUCGGAAUUACUGGGCGUAAAGCGUGCGCAGGCGGUUGUGUAAGACAGGUGUGAAAUCCCCGGGCUUAACCUGUGAACUGCGCUUGUGACUGCACAGCUAGAGUAUGGCAGAGGGGGGUGGAAUUCCACGUGUAGCAGUGAAAUGCGUAGAGAUGUGGAGGAACACCGAUGGCGAAGGCAGCCCCCUGGGAUAGCACUGACGUUCAUGCCCGAAAGCGUGGGUAGCAAACAGGAUUAGAUACCCCCGUAGUCCCUGUCUCUUAUAC